UGUGCAUUCAUACGAUUGUUAUCAACUCUUCAAUCGUAUGCAAACUUCGGAUUCCAUAGCAACUCCCUAAUAUUGAAUGUUUUGGUCAUCCUCUAAUGUACAGGAUAGAUGACGACAAGGUAAAAAUAGUGUGCAGGAAACCGGAGGAUGGAAAUGUCCCAGUAUAGGGAGAUACCAUAAGUUCCUUCGAGCAACGCAGCCAUUGGAACCGGUAAUUUCCUUGAGCAGAUGCAAGGUCCAAGAGCCCAUCCAUAUAACCAUUGCAAAUUGUGAUUAACGAUCUGCAAACCAAAAAUUCCUUUUGAAUGCUACAGUAAGAUCAUGUGACUUUCUUGAACAAGCAACUUUAUGAGUGGUCAUUUCUGAUGCAGCGAUAUGGGGAGGAGUCAGACUUGCAGACGUUUUGAAAAUGCAAGGUAUCCCUUACCGCACUUUGGAGACAGGCGAGGGUGGCCGCUACGUGGAAUUUAUCAGUGUCGAUUACAUGAAGGUACAGAAGUUGGAAGAGUUUCGUAAAUUGAUCUGAAGA
rnacentral:lncRNA from 1 species